rnacentral:tRNA from 1 species
GGGGGAUUAGCUCAAUUGGCAGAGCGUCUGGCUGGCAGCCAGAAGGUCAGGGGUUCGAAUCCCCUAUCCUCCA